AUGUCGUCGUCGUCGUCGUCCACCGCGGCGGCGGGCUCCGCGCUGGGCGGCUCCCACGCCGGCCUCGCCCUCGCCGCCACCGCCAUGGCGCUCUCCGGCACCCUCGUGCUCUUCUCGCUCUGCCGCGCCAAGCAGACGGACCACCACCUCCCGUCUCCCGCCCGGCUCCGGCCCUGCCUCUCCUCCUCCGAGAAGCGGAAGCGGGAGAAGGCGCGGCGCGGGAGCAUGAAGCGGGUGCGCUUCGCCGCCGACGUCGUUGACCACGGCCCAGCUCGCCCGGCGCCGGAGGUGGAGGAGGCGGUGGCGUCGGGGCCGGGGCCGUCCUGCAGGGGCGCCGCGAUGCCGGCGAACCGGGAGGCGCUGUACCGCGGCAUGCUCCGCGGCCGCUCCAUGCUCAGGACCGCCUGCUCCUACUAA
rnacentral:rRNA from 1 species